rnacentral:rRNA from 1 species
GACAGAGGUGCCGAGCGUUAGGCGGAAUCACUGGGCUUAAAGCGUGUGUAGGCGGGCGGGCCAGUACCUUGUGAAAUCCCACGGCUCAACCGUGGAACUGCUGGGUAUACUGCUCGUCUUGAGCCAAUCAGGGGCGAGCGGAACAGACGGUGGAGCGGUGAAAUGCGUAGAUAUCGGGAAGAACACCGGUGGCGAAGGCGGCUCACUGGCCCGAAACUGACGCUCAUGCACGACAGCGUGGGGAUCAAACAGG